AGAGUUUGAUCCUGGCUCAGGACGAACGCUGGCGGCGUGCUUAACACAUGCAAGUCGAACGGUGAAGCUCCAGCUUGCUGGAGUGGAUCAGUGGCGAACGGGUGAGUAACACGUGAGCAACCUGCCCCAAACUCUGGAAUAAGCGCUGGAAACGGCGUCUAAUACUGGAUACGAGACGGAACCGCAUGGUUACCGUUUGGAAAGUUUUUCGGUUUGGGAUGGGCUCGCGGCCUAUCAGCUUGUUGGUGAGGUAAUGGCUCACCAAGGCGACGACGGGUAGCCGGCCUGAGAGGGCGACCGGCCACACUGGGACUGAGACACGGCCCAGACUCCUACGGGAGGCAGCAGUGGGGAAUAUUGCACAAUGGGCGAAAGCCUGAUGCAGCGACGCCGCGUGAGGGAUGACGGCCUUCGGGUUGUAAACCUCUUUCAGCAGGGAAGAAGCGAAAGUGACGGUACCUGCAGAAGAAGCACCGGCUAACUACGUGCCAGCAGCCGCGGUAAUACGUAGGGUGCGAGCGUUGUCCGGAAUUAUUGGGCGUAAAGAGCUUGUAGGCGGUUUGUCGCGUCUGCUGUGAAAAUCCGGGGCUCAACCCCGGACUUGCAGUGGGUACGGGCAGACUAGUGUGUGGUAGGGGAGACUGGAAUUCCUGGUGUAGCGGUGAAAUGCGCAGAUAUCAGGAGGAACACCGAUGGCGAAGGCAGGUCUCUGGGCCACUACUGACGCUGAGAAGCGAAAGCAUGGGGAGCGAACAGGAUUAGAUACCCUGGUAGUC
rnacentral:rRNA from 1 species